CAAUUUUUGUAUUUUAAUUAGAGUCGGGGUUUCACCAUGUUGCGUAGGCUGCUCUUGAACUCCUGACCUACUUUUGUCGGUUGUUUUCGUAUCAGAUAUACCCAGGGAUAGAGGUAUUACUCUGUUUUCUUCUAACAACAAGAAGUGAAGAUAAUGGGUGCCUAAUAAAUGCAAAUAUAAGGUCAUUUCUGUAGCACAGAAAAAUCUUUUGUGUUUAUCAACAUUCAUGAUUUUUCUUGUUACCUAUGUAUUAUAACUACUUUACUAUAUACACAGAUAUAUUGUCAAUCACAUCUAUAUGAAUUGUGGAUAUGACUUACUUGAUUAUUCUACCUUAAUUUAUAAGGAAUGACUAUCUCAGGAAGCAUGACUAGAAAGCAGAUGUAGUUGAAGUCAAUGUUUUCUCUGACUUCAGUUUGAAAUGGAACAUCAAGAAGUAUGUAUUAAACAUCUGCUAUGUGAUAGGCACUGUACUAAUUGAUAUUUUAUUUCUAUGGAUAGUGGCCUUUCCAGGGGUAUUCCUGUGGGAGGGGAGGGGGAUAAGGAAGGGAAGAGGCUCAAAUGAUUCUACCUGCUGUUCCCAUGGUUAUUGGUCUGGUUAUCCAGCACACUGGUGAAAAGGUGGAGGUCUUGCUCAUAUUUGUGGUACAGUUUUUUUGGCUUUUCUGUCUUGCUUCUCUAGAGUAUCUCUGUUAGGGCACUUGUUAACUAAAUAUUUCACAUCUGGUCUUCUGAACGUCUUCAGUCUUUGGUGUUUACAGUACUUCUUAUGAAGUUAUAAAUUUUACUUUCUUUGCAGGUGUCAUUUAUGCAAUAUGUUUUGGACUCAAUUUUUUUUAAAACUUACAAACUUCCAAUAAUCCAACGAAACAAUCCAGGUAAGAGACACAGAAAACUGUAAAUGAUGCAAAAACAGCUGAACUGAAUAUGAGAGAUGUUCAAGAGUUAUGACCUGAGAAGAUGUCCCCGCCAUCAAUAGACAUUGCAGGAUGUGAUACCACUCUGGAGGACUUUGAAGUUUCUGGAUUUGGUUGAAGAAAGAUGCUUUGGACAUUUUGAAUUUGAGAUGCUUCUCCAGAAGUCUUAUGGAUCUGAAGCAUGGGAGAGGAGUAUAAGCUGGGGAAAUAAGUUUGGGGGUUACCAGAAAACUAGCAGUGGGUAAGGCCAUGAGCAAAUGAAAUCAAAUAGAGGAUGAAGAGAACAGGAGCCCUAGCAAACCUUGACAGUUAAAGAGUAUGCAGGGAAAAGGACUUAGAAAGGACCCUGUAAAGAAAGAUCCAAGAUGACCUGAAGAACUGAGAGAGCCUCUCUGUUAUUUAGGGUGACAUAAAUAGCGUCUGGAAGCAGGACCUGAAGUAGGAUCAGUUUUGGACAGAGCUGGCAAUUCUUGGUACCAGUAUGCAGCACUUACAGGAGCCCUUUGAGCUCUCCACUUUCACGGCUCGCCUCUUCUGCCCUGGUGCCAGGAUCUAUUUUUGUCAUCACCAGCCAGGAAGGAUACAAGGCCUCUUCCAAGAUGAAGACGAAACUAUUGACAGAUAUUUUGUCAAGACCAAAUUUUCCCUAAGGGCCCUGUCAUAGAUUGUUCCCUGGGCAGGAUGCAGCCUCCUUCAGAGAGUGAAGAACACACCAAAAGAUCCUCUACUAAAUUAAUCAUAAGCCACAUGAGGCAGGCUGGAAUACAGUUACCAAUCUGCUUUAAUUCUCCCACUUAGAUGGCCUGAAGCCGCCUGAACUGAAAGUUGGAUGAAGCUCGGCUUUGAGUUUCAUCGCGGGGCAUCGUGUGGCCUAAGUCCUUAGCCAAUGCCUGCCAAAUAUUAGCUUGAGUCGCAAUAAAGAGAAAAGGUCCAAAUUCUC
rnacentral:lncRNA from 1 species